UACGAAGGGGGCUAGCGUUGUUCGGAAUUACUGGGCGUAAAGCGUGCGCAGGCGGCUGCUCAAGUCAGGGAUGAAAGCCCAGAGCUCAACUCUGGAAUUGCCUUUGAGACUGAGUGGCUUGAGUACGGGAGAGGUGAGUGGAAUUCCCAGUGUAGAGGUGAAAUUCGUAGAUAUUGGGAAGAACACCGGUGGCGAAGGCGGCUCACUGGCUCGUAACUGACGCUCAUGCACGACAGCGUGGGGAUCAAACAGG
rnacentral:rRNA from 1 species